CAUCACUCUAUUUCUAGGACCUUCUCUUAAAUAUUUUCUUUCGCACCCCUUAAAUUUUAAAAUCUUCAAAAUAUAAUUUUAUUAUUAUACACAAAACACAAUCUCUCUCGACGGUGCCCUAGAAAUUCAAUUCACAAGUUCGAAUCCGAAGCUUUUAGGGUUUUUUAAUCGCAAUCUUAAUCCUCCGCUUCGAUUCUUCGGAGUUCGUAAGAGGAUAUCAUUGGCGGUUUUGGUUUCUGAAGUGGGUUCGUAGGGAAGACCAUGUUCUGGAGUUACACUACUAUUUGAAGAGAAUCAUCUAGUUUUAAGAUGUAUGGUCCUGGGAAUUUUCCUCCUCAGCGUGGGCAGGGUCCUGAGAUAUCAGUGGCCACUUCUCAGAGCGUGCAGCCUCAUCUGCCGCAGCCUCCUUAUCAGCAUGGAAAUGGAAAUAGAACUCAACAUUCUCAAUUUAUGGAAAGAGGUCCUUCAUAUUACCCAGCUCCCGAUCAGGCUUACCCGCCUACCUAUGCAAAUGAACAUCAUAUUCCUACAACUGGAAUGUCGAACUCAGGACAAUCUUACUUACUUCCGCUCUCUGCCCCACCAGCACCACCUCCACAUACCCAAGGGCAUAGCGCCCCAAUAGCACAUCCAUUCCCAGGCCCUCAGCAGAAUUCCCAGUGGGCUCCGAAUGUGCAACAUGUUCCACCACCUUUGCUUCCUACUUUUGGAUGUCCACCCCCUAGACAAAAUGGUCCAGAAAUGUUACUCCCCCCUCCACCUCCUCGACUGCAGCCUCCCAUGCUCUCACAAGGACAAGCUUUGUUUAGAGGCUUCGUUCCUUCACCCUUACCCGGUCCAGUACAGGGACUGCAACAUACCCCACUCGCACAGCCACCCCCACAGAAUAUUACGUCCUAUACACAUGGUCAUUUUGGGUCGGUUGUGAAUCCAAUUUCAGAGGACCCCAAUGGGUCAUCUGCUGGGCUUCUGCCUCCACCACCUCCCCCCUCUCCUCCCCCUGGACCUCCACCCCCUCCAGUUGCUUCACCACCACAAGCUUCUCCAUCUUCUCAUUCUAAGAGUGUUGGUGCUAACCAACAUAAUGUACCACAGGAAGACGUGCAACCUAGUGAUUCACCUUCAAGAUCAGUUCAAGAUGGCAGUCUAGUGGAUGCAGGUCAAUCUUAUUCACCCGCUGAUUCUAACAUGGAUAUCGAAGAUGAAAUGACUGAGAUUGAUGAGAACCAAAGAUGUUCUGAAAUUGUGGAUGGCAAGUCUGUUUUGGUAUCUAGUGAAUGUGAAGUGGAAAAAGAACUACAUGAACCACAAAUCUCUGCAAAAAAUACUUCAUCUGAGGAACCUGCUUUCAGAAAUACAUUAUUUUUGAACACAUCAGAAUUUGCAGACCACAAAGAGGGGGCAGGUGUUGUUGAUAAGAACGUUUCGACUGAACUAGGCACGGGUACCAGUGCUUUCAAACUUCUACAAGAUUAUGCCUCCGAAGAUGAUUCAGAUCAUAUUAAUGACCGCUGUGAUAAAGACAUUGCUCAAGCACCAGUCAAUCCUUCGGGUGGAUCUCUCUCUGCAGCUGUUGAAAGUGAGAAGGGUUCCAGUUUCGUGAUGAACGAGACUAGAAAUCCUUCCGAGUCUGAGAUGGGUUUUGGGCAAUCCUCUGAGCAUGUUUUGUCUUUGCCCGCUAGCUUACAAUCAAAGACAUUAGAUUCCUCUUUGGGGUUCCGAGGACCUUCUAGAGAAGUUGAUAAAACUGUAAUCGUAAAAGACAAAAAAUCUGAAGAUAAUAGAGAUGCAAAUCAACUGUACUUCAACACUGAAAUUGCUGACAAGGAUUUUGAACAGAAAUCCUAUGUAGGGAGUAAUGUUAGGCCAGCUUCUAAUGUUGGCAAAAGACCGAAGGAAGAUGGGGAUUCUCAGCUAAAAGUUGAUGAGUUUGGACGAUUAAUCAAAGAAGGUGGUAGUGACUCCGAAGAUUUGAGCCAAAAUAGGAGGCAUGAUAGAAGAGGUCGAAUACGGAGUCGCAGCAGAUCUCCUCAUGAUAGAAGAAGAAGCCCACAGAGAAGAAGACAUAGGCGUAGUCGCUCACGCAGCUGGUCGCCAAGGAAACGAAGAAGCAGGAGCAGAUCUCCCUCUAGGCACAGAGCUCAGUAUGGCACUGACAGAACAAGAUGGGAUAAAGUUCCUAGUGCAGCUUGCUUUGACUAUAAACGAGGAAAGUGUUACCGCGGGGCAUCUUGUCGCUAUUCACAUGGUGACUCUACUAUGAAUGAACUCUCGAGAGGAUACAGAAGCAAAAAUCACAAGAGUCAAGAGAAGCAGCUUUCUCGGGAGCUGUCUGAAAAGAAUCUCGGUGCUUCAAUGGAUUACAAUGUUGAUCAGAAAGAAGUAGCACCCGUAAGAAAUAUCUCUGACAAAGAUGUCGACUUACUGAUCUCUUCUGUUGCUAAAUCUGUGAGGACUCGCGAAGAAGCAGCUCAAGUUCAAGAAACUGAACAUGCGAGGGAUGAUCGGGUGAAUUCUUCUAUACACGAUACUGCUGAGAACAACUGUGUGGAAGGAGUAACCCCAAAAUUUGUUGGUAGUUAUGUUGUUGAUCAUGGAACAGAUGUUAAUGCCAGAAGGUUACCUCCUGGUAAUACUUGUCAUGGCACAGAGUCAUCCGUGGUUCAGAACUCACAAGCUAAUCUUGUUAGUGACGUCCUCCAAAAUGCUGAUCAUCAAGCUCAGCCCAUGGAAGCCCCCUCUGCUCGUGAUCCUGAAUCCUUGCCAGCUACGGAAGCCCACCUAAAUUCUCAUUCUGUUCCUGAACCUCAUCCGGAUACAGUUUCUUAUCAGUUGCAUCCUGCAACAGCUUCUGUGAGCAAGUCGUACUCUUCUGACACAUUUUCAACUCAUCAUCUCAGAUCUGGGGAACAAUCACCAAAAAAAUCCUAUUAUGCCUCCCAGUUUCUGCCACCCCCUCCUCCAACUUCGGAAGAUGCAAAUACUCCACAGAUGCCUAGAGAUUGCAUCGUAAUGCCACAAAGUUCAAGGUAUCAAUCCCUUCCUACUCCCCCGGAUAGUUUUGCUCCCCAUCGAGCUCCAUUCCCUAAGCAACUUGCCAAUUUCACUGGCCCAUAUUCUCCAUCCCUUGACAAUGAGUCAACUGUACGUGUGUCUUCUUCAUAUGGUUUACCUUCUUCGCAGUUUCAAGAAAAUGAGUUACCAUCAAGAAAUGACUAUCCUCCUCAGGUGCUUGUUGGAACCUAUUCUACCGAAAUGAAUACUUAUUUACAGGCUGGUGAAUCUCAUGGUCAAUCCUGCCCUCCAACACAACAGCCUAAUCAACCUUUAUCGCACAUAGAAGAUAAUAAGUCAACUGGAUUGCCUACUGUUAGCACAACGACUCAACAAUUUGGAGAAGGUGGCUUAACAAGCCUUCCAGGUUAUACCGGUCAAGUUUCAUCAGCUGGCGAACAUCUUUCUUCAUCUUCUCAGAGGUAUUCUCACUUGCAGCAACCUAUGGAUGCUCUGCAGCACCUUACAGAUGAAAGUGGCUCAGUGGCUAGAAAGCCUGGGAAGACAAACUCUGAGAUUUUAAGCUAUAAUUCAGAAUAUUUUCGGAGGAACUUGCCAUCUCAUUCUCAUGUGCCCGAUUUUGUUGGAUCGAGAAUACCAACUUACUGUAACCCUUAUGGAUCUAUUUGUGAACAGCCUGCAAGUUUGAAAGUCAGCUUAAAUGUUGUCAGUGAGGCUAAGGGCAUGCCUCUCGGUAACGGUUAUGGUGAUCCUUUUAGUUCAAGUCAUGUUUCAGCUGAUGCCCGUGUCGCCGACAGUAUUGAAUCUAAAAAUUUGACUUGCUUCCCAAAUUCAAACCAGGCUGUUGAGAAGAUGUUACCCAACUCUAUUGGUGAUCAGUAUGAUCCACUUUUUGAUAGCAUUGAACCAUCUUCAAAUUUAUACAGGAUUCCCAAUAAUGGUCAAAAGCAUGAAAUCACUGGUGAUUCUGACAUGAAAAUGAAUCACAGUGACUCAAACAAGCCGCUGGAUUUUGCAGAAAACACCGAGCAGAGGGAGGCUGAAGCUGUUGCUGUAAUGUCGUCUCUCGACAAUGAUGAGUAUGGGGAGACAGCAGAAGCAGAAGUGGGUGCUGUGGAAAAUGGCAGCCAAAGUGAUCCGGUUCAUGAAGCCAACACAGCUGCAGAAGAGAAUGAGAUAGAUCAGGUUAUAACAUCAGGAAGAAACAAAAUAGGAAAGGAUUCUAGAUCAAUGAAACUUUUUAAAGCUGCUCUUGCUGAUUUUGUGAAAGAGGUGUUAAAGCCAUCUUGGCGACAGGGUAACAUGAGCAAGGAGGCUUUUAAGACCAUUGUCAAAAAGACUGUUGAUAAGGUGUGUGGAGCUAUGAAAAGCCACCAAAUACCCAAGUCACAGACGAAGAUAGACCACUAUAUUGACUCAUCGCAGAGGAAAUUAACGAAGCUUGUUAUGGGCUAUGUUGACAAGUAUGUGAAAGUCUAAUUAGGAUUCUUCCAGAAGAAAAUUUUCACUUAUUGAUUCAAGUGACACCUGCAUCUGAAUUUGUUGAUUGAGGGAGUGCUGCUUUCUGUGCGGUUAUUGCUUGCUACAUAAGCUGCUUGCUUGCCUCUGAAAUCCAUAGUAAACCUUACUGGUGUACUUUAAUUUAAGCCUCAUGAAACUCUGAAGAAGAAAUGUAAUGCCUUUCUACAGACCGUCUUUAUGUGUUUCCGUCUGAGGACAAUUCUACAAAUGUUGAUGAUAGAAUGAAGUUAAAGCCAAGGCGGUGACAAUUUAGUGCUUGUAUAAAAUAUUUUUGUUAGGUAGAGAAACACUGUUUAUGUACUGCAUUAUGUUCGUCUUAUAACUAAAGUAGGCAGGGAAACAUAUUGAUGUAUUAAUGUUGUGCUGCAUGUCAGUUCUUUAUAUUCUUUGUUUCCCUUUCAAAAACAGAAGAUGUUCUGUUGGGAAAAUCUUAUGUGGCGUAUGAUGCUUGUAUAAUAUGUGCAAGUUUUUGUUAUCGGCUCUACAGACUUCUCUGAAAGAAUUGAAGGCGGUUUAGCGACGGUCAUAUGUAGUCUACCUGUUGACAGAAGGGGUGAUUUGUCAUCUGAAGGCAGUUUCUUGUCUAAUACUUGAUAUAUUUUGUGUUUGAUAAUUAGUGCAAUUACCUUAUGUAAUUAGUGUCGUUGCAUUGAGCUUGUAAUAGAGCUGCUAAUGCAUAGUGCCCUUUCAGCUAUGAUAGUAGUGCUGCUUCUGUCAAUUUUACAGGGCCAAUAUACUUGACUGCUGUGUUUCGUUUCUGA